AUUUACAGCCAUACCACUGUGAAUGUACCAGAUUUCAUCUAAUCUCAGAAGCUAAGCAGGGUCGGGCUUGGUUAGUACUUGGAUGGGAAACCAUUCAACUCAUAUAGGCCAAAAGACUGAUAUUC
rfam:Canis lupus familiaris chromosome 9, whole genome shotgun sequence.